CUGGCGGAAGCCGCCGAUGAGGUCACCGUGGCCACACCGCGGCGGCGGCUAGCUACAGUACUAUAUAUAGCUCCAAACCAAGUGCUGCGUCGUGCGGCUCCUCACACCGUCGCAGUCCGCAACGCCGCCGAGCGCAACGACGCCCUCGAGGCCUUGUUGCCGCCGACGCGCAACCCCUCGUUGCCGCCGAUGCGCAGCUUCAUGCCCAGCCUCCACAUCAUCUCCUUGCCGAACGGUAUCGGCCCCACCAGCCCCGGCUGCCGUCGGCGCGGAGCUCGCUCGCCCUCUUGA
rnacentral:misc_RNA from 1 species